rnacentral:rRNA from 1 species
UACGUAGGGUGCGAGCGUUAAUCGGAAUUACUGGGCGUAAAGCGUGCGCAGGCGGUUCGUUAAGUUCGAUGUGAAAGCCCCGGGCUCAACCUGGGAACUGCAUUGGAAACUGGCGAGCUUGAAUGCGGCAGAGGGGGGUGGAAUUCCGCGUGUAGCAGUGAAAUGCGUAGAGAUGCGGAGGAACACCCAUGGCGAAGGCAGCUCUCUGGUCGACAUCUGACGCUGAGACGCGAAAGCGUGGGGAGCGAACGGG